rnacentral:rRNA from 1 species
CCUACGGGAGGCAGCAGUAAGGAAUAUUGGUCAAUGGACGCAAGUCUGAACCAGCCAUGCCGCGUGGAGGAUGACGGUCCUCUGGAUUGUAAACUUCUUUUCUCUGGGACGAAACCCCCGAUUUCUAUCGGGCCUGACGGUACCAGAGGAAUAAGCACCGGCUAACUCCGUGCCAGCAGCCGCGGUAAUACGGAGGGUGCAAGCGUUAUCCGGAUUCACUGGGUUUAAAGGGUGCGUAGGUGGGCAGAUAAGUCAGUGGUGAAAUCUCUGGGCUUAACCCGGAAACUGCCAUUGAUACUAUUUGUCUUGAAUUCUCUGGAGGUAAGCGGAAUAUGUCAUGUAGCGGUGAAAUGCUUAGAUAUGACAUAGAACACCCAUUGCGAAGGCAGCUUACUACGGAGACAUUGACACUGAGGCACGAAAGCGUGGGGAUCAAACAGGAUUAGAUACCCUGGUAGUCCACGCCCUAAACGAUGAUUACUCGACAUUAGCGAUAUUACUGUUAGUGUCUAAGCGAAAGCAUUAAGUAAUCCACCUGGGAAGUACGACCGCAAGGUUGAAACUCAAAUGAAAUUGACGG